rnacentral:rRNA from 1 species
GAUGAACGCUGGCGGCGUGCCUAAUACAUGCAAGUCGAGCGAACAGAUGAGGAGCUUGCUCCUCUGACGUUAGCGGCGGACGGGUGAGUAACACGUGGAUAACCUACCUAUAAGACUGGGAUAACUUCGGGAAACCGGAGCUAAUACCGGAUAAUAUAUUGAACCGCAUGGUUCAAUAGUGAAAGACGGUUUUGCUGUCACUUAUAGAUGGAUCCGCGCUGCAUUAGCUAGUUGGUAAGGUAACGGCUUACCAAGGCGACGAUGCGUAGCCGACCUGAGAGGGUGAUCGGCCACACUGGAACUGAGACACGGUCCAGACUCCUACGGGAGGCAGCAGUAGGGAAUCUUCCGCAAUGGGCGAAAGCCUGACGGAGCAACGCCGCGUGAGUGAUGAAGGUCUUCGGAUCGUAAAACUCUGUUAUUAGGGAAGAACAAAUGUGUAAGUAACUAUGCACGUCUUGACGGUACCUAAUCAGAAAGCCACGGCUAACUACGUG